AAGUGUUACAGCUCUUUUAGAAUUUGUCCAGCAGGUCUUCCAGACUUCACUGAACCGCCCCU
ensembl:snRNA U7 U7 small nuclear RNA